AACCUGGUUGAUCCUGCCAGUAGGCCAAGCUAAGAUCCAAAAGACUAAGCCAUUGCAUGCCCAGUAUAAACCUAAUCACUUGGUGAAACUGCGGACGGCUCAUUAAAUCUGUCCAAAAGAUCUCGUGCUGAAGGCAUAGUCGGCUAAUACGGACAACUCUCUUACUAAUCGUGCACGUAGCAUCGGUUGUGAGUUUUGCUCAGGUUGAUUUGUGUUGCUAGUAUGACUGUUAGGCAAGCACGUCUCUUCUCAGAAACAUCAUUCCAGUAGGAGGAAUAAAGGUUAUCCUAUGAGAUCACGUUUACGGAGAAUUAGGGUUCGACUCCGGAGAAUGAGCAUGAGAGACGGCUCAUAGUUCUAAGGGAGGCAGCAGGCGCGUAAAUUGCCCAAUGUACAAUAGUACGAGGCAGUGACGACAAAUCCUGACCCACUUUUUGUGGGAUUAAGCUGACGACGUAGUACAGUUACGUUGAAGCCACUUNUGGUNAGAGGAUGUGGAUUAAGCUGACGACGUAGUACAGUUACGUUGAAACGCUAUUUUUGGGAAAGUUUGGUGCCAGCAGCCGCGGUAAUUCCAACAAAGAAAGCUUUCUCUUAUGUUGCUGCAGUCAAAAAGCUCGUAGCCUUUGUUAAGGUCGCAAGACCUGUGUCACUUUGAGAAAAUCAGAGCGUUCAUAUCAAGGAUACUGUUGCAUCCCACAGCAAAGAAUGACAUCCUAUCUCCCACCAUGCGCAAGUGUGGCCGUGAGGUAGAUGUAUCAUAUGGUAAUACGGGAGUACAUAGUACUAGACCGGGACAGGUGAAAUAGUUUGAUCGGUUUAAGACUUUCUGCAGCGUAGGCUGUGUACGGAGUGCUUACCAGUUGGUCAAGAGCGAAAGUGUGAGGAUAGACGAUGAUUAGACACNGUUUUAUUUCAUGCCUUAAACGAUACCGUCUCGAGAGCGGGCUUCGUUCGCACUCCCAGGGAAACCGGAAGGUUACGGGUUCUGGGGGGAGUAUGGUUGCAAGACUGAAACUUGAGGUAUUGACGGAAAGAUACCACCAGACGUGGAGUCUGCGGCUCAAUUUGACUCAACACGCAAAUCUUACCAGACCCAGAUGCUUUACGGAAUAACAGAUUGAGAGUUCUUUUAUGAUUGGGCAGUUGGUGGUGCAUGGCCGCUCCUAGUUCGUGGUGUAAACUGUCUGCCUUAUUGCGUUAACGAGCGANACGACCGCCUCAAUAAUUUUGAGGGAGUGCUAGCGUUGAAGUUAAGACGAACGUGGUCGCACUAGCAGGUCUGUGAUGCCCUUAAACACUCUGGCCCGCACGCGUACUACAAUGAGAGUACCCAACCGUUGCUUAGCCUGAAGGCUUGACUAUUCGUUUGAAUUAUUCUCGUGGUAGGGAUCAGGGGUUGUAAUUGUCCCCUGUGAGCGAGGAAUGUCUAGUACCUGUGCUUCAUUAUAGCACGAAGACUACGUCCCUGUCUUUUGUACACACCGCCCGUCGCUCCUACCGACUUGGAUGUUAUGGUGAGUUGUUCGGAUUGACGUCUGCAAAGAUGUCGAGAAGUUCUGCGAAUCCCAAUGUCUGGAGGAAGGAGAAGUCGUAACAAGGCUGCUGUAGGUGAACCUGCAGAAGGAUC
rnacentral:rRNA from 1 species